GACGGGGGGUCCUAGCGUUGUUCGGAAUCAUGGGGCGUAAAGCGUGUGCAGGUGGUUCUGUAAGUUAGAUGUGAAAGCCUUGGGCUUAACCCAAGAAGUGCAUUUAAAACUACAAAACUUGAGUAUGGAAGAGGGUCGUGGAAUUCCAGGUGUAGUGGUGAAAUACGUAGAUAUCUGGAGGAACACCGGUGGCGAAGGCGGCGACCUGGUCCUAUACUGACACUCAUACACGAAAGCGUGGGGAUCAAACAGG
rnacentral:rRNA from 1 species